CCUACGGGCGGCAGCAGUGAGGAAUAUUGGUCAAUGGUCGAGAUACUGAACCAGCCAAGCCGCGUGAGGGAGGAAGGUACAAAGUAUCGUAAACCUCUUUUGUCAGAGAACAAAGGCGGGGACGUGUCCACGGAUGAGUGUACCUGAAGAAAAAGCAUCGGCUAACUCCGUGCCAGCAGCCGCGGUAAUACGGAGGAUGCAAGCGUUAUCCGGAUUUAUUGGGUGUAAAGGGUGCGCAGGCGGUCUGUUAAGUCAGGUGUCAAAUGCCGGGGCUCAACCCCGGUCCGGCACUGGAAAUGGGCAAACGAGAAGGCGGUAGAGGUAAAGGGAAGUCCUGGGGUAGCGGGGAAAUGCUUAGAGAGCAGGAGGAACAUCGGUGGCGUAAGCGCUUUACUGGGCCGUAAUUGACGCUGAGGAACGAAAGCCAGGGUAGCAAAUGGGAUUAGAUACCCGAGUAGUC
rnacentral:rRNA from 1 species